UACGAAGGGAGCGAGCGUUGUUCGGAAUCACUGGGCUUAAAGCGUGCGUAGGUGGAUUGGCAAGUAAGGAGUGAAAUCCCAGGGCUUAACCCUGGAACUGCUCUUUAGACUGCCUGUCUGGAAUUCGGAAGAGGUUGGUGGAACUCCCAGUGUAGAGGUGAAAUUCGCAGAUAUUGGGAAGAACACCGGUGGCGAAGGCGACCAACUGGUCCGACAUUGACACUGAGGCACGAAAGCGUGGGUAGCAAACAGG
rnacentral:rRNA from 1 species